UUUUUUUUUUUUUUUUUUUGUCUUUUUUGCCUUUUCUAGGGCUACUCCUGUGGCGUAUGAAGGUUCCCAGGCUAGGGAUCUAAUCAGACCUCUUUAUUGAUGAUUGGGAGACCUAGACUAGUCCACCUAGGUCUUCAUAUGGAAAUAAAAAGUGGGUCUCCAUAAUUAAUGAUUUUAAAAAGAACAAAGAAUGCAGGAACAAAUGACUUUUAUUAUGCAACGGAAGUAACCAUAGCAAAGAUAAUAAAUUAGGCACAAAAAUACCCAGUUUGUUUCAAAGGUUAAUCUUAGCCUAAAUCACAUUCUUGAGCUGUUGUGCAGAAUCCAAACCCCCUGAAGCUCUCAACCACCUACUUGGAGCCUCAGAAAUAAUGAUGUUUACCUUUGUUGACCCUCAUGACUUCAGUCAACUGGGUGCCUUGAUUUUUUUCAACCUAGAAUGACAUUUGCUUCAUCUUCAUGCUAAAAUCUUCACCCCAAGGGUGAGGACUGCUGCCAUUUUUGAACAUGGGAAGUAUGUUUGAGCAUGUUUUUACACUGUGCAAGUGCAUCUAGAACUCCACCUCGAUGUAGAAGAUCACUUGUCUUUUCAUGAAUAUGUAAGGAAACUUAGCCUAAAACUUCCCUGGUCUUGCUGUUCAGGAUGACAGUGCUUUGAGAAGAAUCUCCCUAUCUUUUUAUUUGUCACAAAUGAAAAAUCUUCUGCUGUAAUUGAAAGUACUUUGUGUGUUCAUUGGCCACGCACCCUAAGUAAUGGACCUAUUGAGUCUGGUAACAGGUUGGCUGGACAUUCUUCUGAACCAGUACAUGUUUGCUAAUAUCAGCUGGACUCAUACAGUGAAUGAUCUGGCUAGUUUAGGCUGGCUUUGCAGAGGCAAAGUCUUGACUAUGCUAAAAGUAAACUCUGAAACUUUAGCAAACUAAGUGUUGGGGAGAUGGCUUGGAUCAUCCGUGUCAGAAAAUGAGACACAUGAACAUGGGGAGGUCUCGACAAGGCUCUUUGCUUCUGCAGAAGGGCGUGGGUACUCAAAAAGUGCAUGCAAAGAAGAAAAGACCCUACCUAUUUAUCCCUAAUGCACUGAUGUACCUGUUCGCUUCCCAUUGGUCAGGUCAGGGUGCACAUUCUUCUCGGUUGGCUAAUUUGAAACAAAUUGUUACUGGGAGAAGAGGGAAAGAGGAGGGGGUCACAAGAAGGCAUUUCAGCUGAAACCAGAGCAAAAUGGAGUAACCAAGAUUUCCUUUGAUAGAAAAGACAUGUUACUUUCCACAAUUCCCACCUUUCAUUUUUUUAUCAAAUAUUUUUUUAUCAGAUUCUUUGAGCAUGAUUUGCCUAAGAAAGUUGCCUUUGCCUGCUGUCAUUUUAGACACGAGAAGUUGAUGUUUUCAUUUGUCUGCUGUACAGUUCUUGGGGGCUGACUCACAGAACUUUUGACCUCAGGGAAUAGCAGUGACAAAGUCUGACUGGACCCAUUAGUUCAAGCUGUUUUGUCCUGGAAGAGGGCCAUCACACAUUCAAGGCCCUGUGGGUUUGAUGACCACCCCAGAGAAAAGAGAACUACUUGGGCCUCUGGUCUCCCUGUGGCACAAGCAUAACAGCUGCCUUUGUAUAAUGUGUCCUCAGAAUAUUUAAUCCAUUUAAACCAGGCAUUUGCAUCCCCCUAUCCUGUUUUUAUACUCACAGUCAGCCUUCCUCCAAAGGUGAGUUUUCUGUUUCCUUCAGUUAAUAGGGCAGUGGUGGCUACCGACUGUAUGUACUCAGCCAUCCUCUGGUGACAGGGUCCAGGAGGCAAGAGAGGAAGGCCACCAGCUGGUGUUUCUAUGUGAGGACAUCUAGAGCCAUUCCCUGGUCCAUGCUUACAAAUAAAUGAAAAGGUUUUUCAAAAGAAUGGUAGAGCCAGAAGAGGGGCACCUAUCAGCACCUCUCUUAAAUCCCUAAAUUGUUGUACCUCCUCCUGGCUCCAUAGUCAGAUAUCAGGGUCUUCCUCUAUAAGCUUGGAAAUAGUCCUUUUAUAUUAUGUCCUUUUUAGUAUGUAUGGUCCCCUUGUUGCAGGUUUUGGGGCAUCUAAUCUUUAUACAAAAAUAGAUGACUCAGAUAAACUUUAGAAACAAGCUUAGAAUGUUCUUUUUAGAAGCUCAGUUAAACUUUGCAGCAAUAUAACAUAAUAGCAAAAACUAUCUAGGAAGUAAGUCUUAGUGAUACUGACCACAAUUAAAAGAAUGAGAUUAACAGAUUUAGCAAGUUUUCAUUGAAACAUCUCUUUCCUUCUAAAAUUACUCUCACUUUUAUCAAAUAUUAGCCAAACCAAGACUAAUUUAUUUGCCAAUUAAGUCUGGUGUCAACAAUCUUGGCCUGAUGAUUUACAUGAAUAAAAUUGAUCAUGUAGGUUUUUUUUUUAAUUGGUUUUGUUAGAAAUUUAGGAGGAAUCUUUUUGUAAAUCAUAUAAAAUUGGAUUGUGAUGAUCAUUGUACAGCUAUAAAUGUAAUAAAUUCAUUGAGUAAUAAAAAAUGAAAAAUAAAUUUUAAUUGAGGAAAAAAAAGAACUUUAUGAGGAAUCUUAGACUAAGCUUUUAAAAGGCACCUCAGGGCUAGGAAAGUCAUGCCAAGGAUUUGUCUUAAAGAUUUUUAUCUUAAAGAUUUUGGUGAAUUCCUUCCCUUUUAAAAACCCAGAUACCUUGAGGUUUUUACAGGCUACAUAAAGGUGGCCUUCCUAAUUAUCUGAUAAAGCUUCUGGGAAGCUGAGAGUUUCCAUUCUCUGAAGAAAUCAGGUAAAGAAGAGAGAAAUGUUUCAGUUCUGCUUACAAAGGUAUAAUUGACCAAAUUGCUUGUUGUGGAGAAUUUCUUUAUACCUGGAAAACACAGAUUAAAAGCCAUUAUUAUUUUAAACAGAAACCAUAAAAUUAUAAUCAUAUUCACCAGUUCACACAGUCCAAUGUAACUAAUCCUUUUUGUUUUAACUCUUUAUGAAAUCAUCAAUUUCCCUUUUAGAUUUUUUUUUUAAUUUCUUACUCAGCUUAUCAUUAAGGUAUGGAAGUCAGAAACUUGUAUUUCUUUAAAAAAAAAGUUCUUUCUAUAGAUCUUCUAGAAAAGGAAACAUUUUUGCCAAGGUAUUGGAGUAAAGCCAUUAACUAACAGUGACAAAAGCCUUAGGCACAUUUUAAAUCUGAUUGCAAUGAAACUUGGUAACUGUUGUGACAUAUAACAAUUUGAAAUAACUAGGAAAAAAAAGAAUUAUAACAUAGUACCAAUACAUAUCCAAAUUUCAGAAACUGUAAAAGUUCUAGAAUAUCUAUAUUAAAAACAUCUAUUCAUCUAUAUAAUGUGAAGUUUAUCACUCAUUUGGUAAUAUUAUCUAUGUAGUUUAACAUUUCAAAUAAUUCUAGUAAGUGUAACUUUUUUUUGAAUGCCUCAAGGGUCUAGUGAGGCAUUUUAAAGUUAUCUGAGUUAAAAGCACUUUAAUUAGAAUUUGAUAGUGUUUAUAAAUAAAUAAUUUUUUGUUUGUUUAAUUUGGUCAGAUAGAAUCAUAGGUUGCUGUGGAUAAUACUUUUUUUCUUAACCAAAGUUACAAGCAGUCUCAAAGGCAAAUACAGCAGAUCACUUAAAAGAACAUAAUAUAAUCUGUUGUCAAAGUAGCAUUCCAAGGAAACUUUGUUCUAACACUGUAUAACCCUUCUCUCAAUGUCUACUUCCCACAAACCUUUCAGCACUUUCUGUAUCCAUUAGUUUGUCCCCUAUUUGUCAUUUAAAACAAGCUAGAAGGCAGACUUACUCUUCUUUUCCCUUGAUAAAGUAGAAUUUCAUUCCUCAUUCCUUCUCAUAUAUACAUUUUAUUUCUCUCUUAGUAAAUUCUCUAAUGUUUUAUUUUUCCAAUCAUCUAUUUUUUUUAACUUAUUAUUUUGUCUCUUGAGGGCCACACCUGUGGCAUAUGGAGGUUCCCAGGCUAGGGGUCCAAUCAGAGGUACAGCUGCCAGCCUACACCACAGCCACAGCAA
rnacentral:lncRNA from 1 species